GACAGAGGGUGCAAACGUUGUUCGGAGUUACUGGGCGUAAAGCGUGUGUAGGCGGUCCGCUAAGUCGGGUGUGAAAGCCCUGGGCUCAACCCAGGAAGUGCACUCGAAACUGGCGGGCUAGAGUACUGGAGAGGUUGGUGGAAUUCUCGGUGUAGAGGUGAAAUUCGUAGAUAUCGAGAGGAACACCGGUGGCGAAGGCGGCCAACUGGACAGAUACUGACGCUGAGACACGAAAGCGUGGGGAGCAAACAGG
rnacentral:rRNA from 1 species